rnacentral:lncRNA from 1 species
UGGUGGUUACCUCCACCUUUUGCUGCCCACUACCUCCUCGAUUUAACCGCUUAGAAUAUUACAUUUAACCGUUUUGGGUAUUACAUAUUCUAAUGUUCCUGAUCUGAUCUGGUGUAUUGUUUUAUAUUGUUUUUCAGUUAACAUCGCUCUCGUCUUCCACCUCAAUUAACACCAAAAAAUCCCUUUAUCUUCUCCAAGAUCACAUUCAGGAUCUUUCUUUGGGUUAAUGGCUAAUCAGUUUGAUUUCAUUCUCAUCAGAGCUUGAUUGUAAUUUAAACAUAUGCGCCUCGCCCAUAAUCCCGAUAAUCGGCCCAAGGCAUCAAUUCAACGCAGAGAGAGAACCUAACCAAACCACCGGGCUUCGAGUGAAAUCUUGACGUUUCUAUAGAGGAUUCACAAGAUGUUUGCAAUCACGUUGAUAUGGAUAUUUGUAAAUGUUCGACAUCAAGUUCCGUUACCGAUUAUCUGUUCGGUAAACCAUAAUCCACCAGUUGAUGGGGGCAGAAAGUGAAUGUUGUAUUUAAAACUGAUGGCAAGACCUACUUUGAGUGUGAUGAAGUUGCACCACCAGCAAAAAAAAAGGGCUUUCCGAAUCAACACAAGGCGGCUGUAAUGCUUCUAAGCUCCAUUGCAUUUUUUAUCUUCAAUUACAUUCAUCCAGCGCCGAAAUUGUUUAGAUUCUUGAUCAAUUUUCGUUGUUAAUUAUAUAUUUGAAAAUCAAUUCAUGAAUACUCAAUAAGGUUGAGUGGAAUGUCAUAGAAGACUUACAUUAGGUUUUUUAACGAUUGCUUAGUGGGAUGUAUUGAUGAUGUUAGGGGUAUACAACAAGUAAAUAAUGCAAAAGGCAUGGAUAGAUAUAUCAAGGCUGACUAUCAGGUUCUUUUGGGAUGGAUUGAGAAAGGUCAUGGAGGAAAGAAAUGAAAAUUCUUCAAAUUUUCAGGAUGAAUAAUGAACUUUUUGGUGCUGGAUCAAGUGGAUAUUGAUUAUGAUAUUUUUGUGUUAGUUAUCUCAUCAAGAAGCUGGUAACGAGGCUGCAGAAGCCUUAAGCACGCAAGAUCACUUAAAAUAGAACGGGUCGAAAGUGAAGGUGAUGGGGUUACGCCAUUGCCCAACUAUCUUACCCUAGCAAACCUGCUGGCAUUUAGGGUCAUUCAUUCAUUUGCAAGGCGAUGUACCAUACGCCACUCCGGUGUAUGGUAUGGCGAGUUCUGAAUUCGGGUGAAUCCAACGGGUAAACAGGUGGGAGUGGAGCCUAGAGACGUCUAAACAGUUUUUUGUUCAAAGUUUGCGGGACUGCAUCCAACAGACUUUGACAGGUUUGAUCGAGCUUCAUGGAAAAUAAACGUUGAGAUGAGAUGAACAUGGAACGCAAGAAAAAUAGGAACUGAUAGUUUGACUGAGCAAAUACCUUUGUUUAUUAUAAAUUAUAAAUAGGUUGUAAUUUUUCUUUUUGUAUGUACCCUAUUUUCAUUCAAUACGGUAGCUUUCUUCAUCUUCAUAUUUAUGUAUACAUAUUACAU